rnacentral:rRNA from 1 species
GAUGAACGCUGGCGGCGUGCCUAAUACAUGCAAGUCGAGCGAAUGGAUUAAGAGCUUGCUCUUAUGAAGUUAGCGGCGGACGGGUGAGUAACACGUGAGUAACCUGCCCAUAAGACUGGGAUAACUCCGGGAAACCGGGGCUAAUACCGGAUAACAUUUUGAACCGCAUGGUUCGAAAUUGAAAGGCGGCUUCGGCUGUCACUUAUGGAUGGACCCGCGUCGCAUUAGCUAGUUGGUGAGGUAACGGCUCACCAAGGCAACGAUGCGUAGCCGACCUGAGAGGGUGAUCGGCCACACUGGGACUGAGACACGGCCCAGACUCCUACGGGAGACAGCAGUAGGGAAUCUUCCGCAAUGGACGAAAGUCUGACGGAGCAACGCCGCGUGAGUGAUGAAGGCUUUCGGGUCGUAAAACUCUGUUGUUAGGGAUGAACAAGUGCUAGUUGAAUAAGCUGACACCUUGACGGUACCUAACCAGAAAGCCACGGCUAACUACGUGCCAGCAGCCGCCGUAA